rnacentral:rRNA from 1 species
GACGUAGGGCGCGAGCGUUGUCCGGAUUUAUUGGGCGUAAAGGGCGCGUAGGCGGCUACGCACGUCCGUUGUGAAAUCGCUCGGCUCAACUGGGCGGGGUCAGCGGAUACGGUGUAGCUGGAGCAAGCUAGGGGGCAAUGGAAUUCCCGGUGUAGUGGUGGAAUGCGUAGAUAUCGGGAGGAACACCAGUGGCGAAGGCGGUUGCCUGGAGCUUUGCUGACGCUGAUGCGCGAAAGCGUGGGGAGCGAUCCGG